rnacentral:lncRNA from 1 species
UCAAGACUCAGCCUGGACAUGAUGUCCUCUGCUCAGUUCCUUGGUCUCCUGUUGCUCUGUUUUCAAGGUACCAGAUGUGAUAUCCAGAUGACACAGACUACAUCCUCCCUGUCUGCCUCUCUGGGAGACAGAGUCACCAUCAGUUGCAGGGCAAGUCAGGACAUUAGCAAUUAUUUAAACUGGUAUCAGCAGAAACCAGAUGGAACUGUUAAACUCCUGAUCUACUACACAUCAAGAUUACACUCAGGAGUCCCAUCAAGGUUCA